GUAUGGAACUCAAAAGUCAGGACACCUUUAUUCCUUGGACUGUUGCUGACAUUCCUGAACUUGCAAGGUCCUCAGCAGAUCCAGGGCCAGAGCUCCAAAGGGAACUGCUUACAGACCUGUGACUCCGGCUGAAGCAGUGUGGAGCGUGUUCAGGUGGGCGGCUCACCCAGCAGGUGUGCAUCAAGUGCUUCCUGGGUGCCAGCCACCGCUGCAGACUUCCAUUGCGGUGGCUCUUCAGCAAGGCAAGGCUCAUGCUGCAAAUCUUUCCUCUUUUCAUCAAAGCCUUUCUGAGCCAGUCCCUACCUUCCUGUAACUUAGCUUCCAGAAUGGAAGAAAUAAUCCACGCUAAGAAGCCUGGCCUUGCCUCCUGCCUCCCUGAUCCUUCUUCCUUUGCCCAUCAUCCUCAUCACCCCAGCUUUUAACAAAGCUCAGCAGCAGUGGCUCUCAUGGGAAAGUUUCACAGGAAAAAGAAGACAGUGGGAUACCACUACACGAGAAUUCAAAAGAGCACUGAGGACAGAAAAAACUGGGAGCUUUGAUGAGCUUCCUGUGCCUUCAACUGCUGCAAGGUCUGAAUUUGAGUGAUGGUACCAGAAGGCGGCCAUUGUUUCAAGAACACUUGGGAAAUGCUUUGGGAGAGAAGACUGUGGCUCUACAAUUCCGUUCUGUGGGGAAGUCAUAAUCAGCAAACUCUCUAUCUGCUCCCACACUCAUUUUUCCACAGCUUUAGUUCAAGAGCCCCUAUACUUUCAAAGUCUGAGGCUGCCAAGGAGCGGAGACUCAUGGGCUGGGGUUCAGGUGGGUAAGAGUUUGGUAUGGACAGCCAGUCUUCCUGUUUGAAGUCUGCCUCCCUCUCUCACUGGUGAUACUUAUGUUGGUCAAAUUACCACACAUCGCUAAGCUUUAGAUUGUUUAUCUGCGGAAUGGGUUUAAUAAUAGCAAUUAUCUUAAAUGGUUGUUAUUAAGAUUAAAUAAAUGAAAGGUGUAUAUACAAAAUUGUAAUAGUUAUUGGCACUGGCUACACGUGUAAUCAACAUUAGCUAUUAUUUCAGAAAACAGAAAACCAAUAGCACUGGAGAUAGGUGGUUACUCUGUAUUCUCAAAAGGAUCAGACAACUGAUAAUUUAA